rfam:Glycine soja cultivar W05 scaffold1112_13, whole genome shotgun sequence.
GUGAGCCGUGUGAUGGGAAACCUUCUCUCAUGGUUCGGAGAGGUUCACCUCCAC